GUUGGGCAUGGUGUCACAUGCCUGUAAUUCCAGCUACUUGGGAGGCUGAGACAGGAGGAUGGCAAGCUCAAGGCCAAUCACAGCAAUUUAGCAAGACCCUGCCUCAG
rnacentral:sRNA from 1 species